GCAAGCAAAGGGUGAUUUAUACAUUUCAAAAGCAUUGAUACACCAUCAAAAUGAAGUUACGAGCUAAAGCAUCAUGAAACUUGUUUGUACAUUCUUACAAAGCUUAAUCUUCAUGGAAAAGUUUUCAUGCAAAAGUAGUGCUAUAAAAUACACCGAAGUUACAAGUCAAAAGCAUCAUAAAGUUUUUGUAACCAGUGCAACAAAAUAAAACUAAGUUUUUCAGAACUGGCUGCGGUAGAAUCAUCUAGAUGAUUGCAAAAUAAGCAGAUCAAACUUUUACGUAGUAGUAUUGAUGUUGCCUUCAAAUAUACACGACGAUGUUUAAUCGAGUUUUCCCUUCAUUGUAACUUGAUCAUUUUCUGAGUUGGAGGUAGCAAUUUUUGGCUCAGCUUUACGUUGGAAAGUACUGGCUCACUUGAAGUUUAGAACAGUGAUCGCUUUGCUGAUGUUGGUGAAACUUUGUGAUUAUCAUAAUUGAUGUUUGCCUAUGCAAGACAUAAACCUAUGUCUUUCUCACUUGGUUGUUCUAUUCUAUCAGCAAUGGUAGAGAAUGCAUCGAAGACAAAUAUAAUUUCAUACUUGUAUGCAGUAGAGUUUGGCUCCAAUUGUGUGAUCUUGACAUAAAAGAUAUGUUCUUCUUCAGGAUCCAUUUGAAUGAAUUAAUCAAUGUUUGGAUCACUUCCCUGUUGAAAGUGAGGAUAGAAAAAUUACUAUUAUCAUGCAUUGAUAGAUAAAGUUAACAUAGUUAGGUAAUGAUAUAUGCACUUAAUGAUUUAGAGUGCUUCAUUAAAGUCUCAGCAUCAUACUUCAAUAGUGUUUCAGCAGGGUC
rnacentral:lncRNA from 1 species